rnacentral:lncRNA from 1 species
AGCCCACUGAACUGCAUAGAAGAGCCAAGAGUUAUUCAACCUGCCCAAGUAAUUCUAUUACACCACCAACAUCAGAACCAUGCUUUAUGGAUGCUUCAACUACAAAUGGCAAGUUUCUUAUCUUUGGAGAGGACUGAAAUCAAAGGUCAGAACAUCAACAAAAAAGCAAAGUAUUCUUUUGGAACAAGCUCCAUAUCUAGAGAAACAGCUGAUUCUAGUGAGAAUUUCAGUAGUUCCUAGAGAGUGACUGUGGAAAAGGCAAGCACAGCAGGAGACACCUGAGAUUGCACUGGAUGCAGGGAGUGAGGUGCCAAUUGUGGCUGGAACUAUAGGAAGGAGCGGGCAGGCCAGAGCUGUUUCCCUGGGAUUCCAGAACAGAAGGCUGUGCCACACAGAGGUCCCCUGGGUCACAAUAGCAGCUGAAUCUCAGUGGCCAUGACAGCAAGGCAACAACGGGGCCAGCUCCCCAAGGUCCAUGUAAGUGCAGCUGCCCAGGACUCCCCUUGCUGUCCAGACAUAGGCUCUCCUACCUGCUUCCAACUUCAGUUCUGUGGCAUUUCCAGGAAAUAUGGGUAGUUAACACAUAACCAUGCUCAAUGAGAGCCAACCUGUGGCUGUGCGGCCCUUUCUCGGCACGUGGCCCAAGCCUGUGCUGGGUCUACGCAGUGAAGUACAAGGAUUAAACGUUUAUGACAUCCCACCACUGAUCUAAAAGGAUCCACUCACAGAGGAAAAUGAAGACUGAAAAGCCAACACCAACACCACCCUUCUGUGCUUCUCAGCACUUCUGGGCCUUCACGUCCUCCUUUUCCUCCCCCACCUUUAUAAGCACUCUCCUUUUCUUCAAUAUACACUCCAAACCCUCUCCGUCCCACCUUAAGUGAUCUGCCUUGAGCUGAGCCCGUUUUUUAAACAGAUUUAUCUUAAUUCCAAGGCCAGAAUUCAGGUACCAGAAAUGGGUACUUUGCCCAGAUCAUCCCUGACAAAAAUAUUUGCCUAUUAACACAAUCUUACUACAACUAAAUAGAAAACAAAAACUGUUGACCUAUAAGAUAAAUGAAUCUUUCAAAGCAUUAUUUGGUUGCUCUACCUGAAGAAUACUAAAUUGUAACCCAGUCAUCCAGCAUGAGACUCUACCUGUAAACCUCGAAGGCUUAUUCCUGCCUAGAGCCCCAGGGAAGCAGCUUCCACCUCCACAUUCCAAGCUGCCAUGGAAACAACAAUGCUGCCUAUUCCACUACAGGCUUUGCGAGACUCCUCUGAAGACCUCCCUCCAGAGUCCACAGUUGCGAGACUCCUCUGAAGACCCCUAUCCAGAGUCCACAGUUGCGAGACUCCUCUGAAGACCCCUCUCCAGAGUCCACAGUUGACUUCCUCCUCAGAGUCCUACCACAGGAUUAAUUCCUGAAAUCUUUCCCAAAUCCAAACGUUAAGCAUUAUCUACAUCAGUCAAUGUCCUACUAAAAGUUUCCAUUACACAUGCUAUAAAUU